GUCUACGGCCAUACCACCCUGAACAUGCCCGAUCUCAGAAACUAAGCAGGGUCGGGCCUGGUUAGUACUUGGAUGGGAGACAAUUGAACAACAACAACAACAAAAGAUA
rnacentral:rRNA from 1 species